GCCAAUGUCCUGGUCUCUGUGAUGGAGAGGAUUACUGUCACUCCCAUUCUGUUAUUAUUCUGGCAGACUUCACCAGUUUUGAGACCACUGCUUGGAAAUUCAAAAUGUAUUUGCUGCUGUGAUAUCUUACACUGCCGUAUUUUUUUUCUGCGGACAAUGCGCUAUCAUAUUUGAUGCAGAAUGGAUGAGUUCUCAAAGCAGCUUUGAUCUGUCCUAGAUCCUCAAAGCAGCCUGCAAGGAUAGCUUGAAAGCUUUUUAUUUAAAAUAAGUGGCUUUUCCUCCCCUCUCAUUUUAAUUGAAACAGAUGCUGAAUGCAGGACAAAUUGUACUCUAAGCUUGAUUGCAGAAAGCAAGUAUACUUCUAAACCAGCCUUGAUCAAUAGCAGUUUCUGCUGAAAAGAUUAACCUGAAAACGGAGGAUGGGAGGAGAGGAGGAAUUGAUCAGUCAUGCAGCCUAACCCGAUGACGUGUCCUCAAGGCAACUUGCAAGACUUGGAGAAAUGCCGACAGAAUUUUCCUAGGCAGAAGGAAGCAGACUGGUGAUGACGUCACUUCAAGAGGCCUCGAUUGCAUUUUGACGAAUGGUUACAUUGCUGCUGAGUGCUGCGUUCAUACUUUCUUCCUGUCAGUUUGUUAGUUGCGUUACUUAUCAUGGAUUUUUCCUACUCUUCCCAGCAACAACUGCAUGCUGUAUUAAAUGUCUGUCUGUGGUUUAAUUGCAAAAAAUCUGCAUUCUCCUUCUGAAUUAAAUUAGAGGCUUUUCUGUCAGGUUUGUUUUACUGGCGUGGCUGCAUCUCAUAUCAGCCCACGUAAGGAGGGUGAAGAGGAACCAAGCAGCUACUCUGCACUGCAGAUCUCACUGAAUAUAUGCAGCAGGGGCAACUCAAAGGUAUCUACCAGGCCCAGAAUAUUUAUUUUUCAUGUACUUUUAGAGGUGUAGGGGACUUAGGAAAGCAACCCCUCAUAUUUUCCCGGGCUUCAAUGACAGGGCAGUCAGGCUGAUAGCAAACGUCCCUGAAAAGUUCACACCUUAUGUAAAAGAGCUGGGUAUCAGAUGAACAGGAACUUCAAAAUGCUUCAAACAGGCAUGUCAAAGUGAAACACGCCCGCCGAGCUUGUUCUGUGAGACAGCAAACUUCUUCCACCAAGUUUCCAGAGGCUCAUGAAUUUGUGAGAUGGUGUGAUGGGGUGGGGAGGAAGCGGGAGGAAAUCCAGCCUCUCCCCCUGCAGGGGUACCACAGCUCCCAUCCUUCUCCCUGCCCCACGCCUGGCGUCCCCAAAGGGCACAGCAGAUCUGAGCGAGGGUGACUCACACAAAAGUGCCUUAUUAGGACAUGCUGAUUUGGAGCAACUAGCCCUGGAAAGGUCAUUCUGUCUAAGGAAACCUUCCAGUGAGACCAAGCUGGAUGUAACUGCUUUUGUGGUCUCCAGUCUCCCACAGCAUUGCCAGGAGAAAGGCCUUAUGGGCCAUGAAAUUAAUGUUUAAUACCGGAAGCAGUGGGCAGCUGCAGAAAUAAUGUGUCAAGCGCCACCAUGGUACCUGGCCAGCACAGACCCAUGGCCCCAAAAAUGCCCAGUUUUCCCUGUGUGUGUUGUCUGGAACACUCCACAGCUGCAGCCAAAAAUUAUGGUCUCAGUGUUGUCUUCUGGCCACCAAAGAAGUAUUUUCAAAUGCUGUAUGUUCAUUGACUGGUGAAAACAAAAACAAUGAAAUAAUAGAAGGCACCGGGAAAUCUAAGGAAUCGAUAUUUCUAGGGAUUGUUCAUUGAAGGUAUCAACCGAUCCACACUGUGCCUCAAUGAACGGCCAUGUCAGGAUUCGUCCUUUUCCCCUAUGCCGAGUAGCUACAGGUGGAUCUAUAGACCUCUGUGCGUGUGUGUGUGUUUGAUUCCUCUAAUCCUAUCCCCUCUGUGAUUUCUGCAAUAACUGUUACAGCAUUUGGUAUUUUUCUAAGACAGGCCUAAGGAAGAAGAUAUGAAUAGGUAAUAUUUUUUCAUUCUUAAUUUCUGGUAUCUAGUUAAGCAUAUGUCAAGAGUUCAGCUUAUGCUCAAGUCUUAGUGUACUUGGGUGAUGAUCCACAUAGGGCCAUAAUCCACUUUAAACCAGGCAGCCUGAGAACUAUCUAAUUUUGGACAGCCCAGCCUUAACAUGGCCUGUAAAAUCAGUCUCAGACACAGGACGUAGUAACACGUAUGACAGAAGCAGAUACAUAUCUUCACAGUGAUAUGACACUAAAUUAUGCUGAUUUAAGUCAAACUUUCCUGGUCUCCUUUCAAGCCUUUCCUUUUCUAAACUCAACACAACUUGGAAGUGGAAGACCUGGUCUUGCACUCAAGACAAAUGGACUAACAAGAGCCUGGAGCCAAUGGCAUUUGGUCAGAGUAAGAAACAUUCUUUUUUUGAAAAAAAAUUAAGUCUUUUCUGGAAACUUUUUGGUUGCUCAGAAGCUUACAAUUUGAAUACUCUUACUGAUUUUAAGUUUGCUAGUAAAACUCAAUCACAAUACAAAGAGACUAGAAUCUCUUUUAUCACAAAACCAGUAGUUUUCAUGUUUGCUCCAGCUUUAGCUUCCCUCCUGCUUUCUUCCUCCUUUGAACUGUACAACUAAUGCAGUCUUAUGUACAUUCACCACUAUUACCUGCAGAGUACAUUCAGAGUAUACAGUUAAUUUACUACUGGCAACUGCUUGCCUUUGUUGUCAUUAGCAAUCUUCAUUUAAUA